UCAAAGUCCAGAAAAAAAAUAAUCUGAGUUUGUGUACUUCUUUAUGAUUGUUAAAUCAGGAUUUCGAAUGUGCUAUGUGUUUAGGUGUCUAA